GCCGAAGUGGCGGAAUGGCAGACGCGGCGGUCUCAAAAACCGCUGCCCGCAAGGGCGUGUGGGUUCGACUCCCACCUUCGGCA
rnacentral:tRNA from 2 species